GUUCACUUAAAUUCGGGUUUCUCCUCAUGCUUGAAGAGAAUUUCUGGGCUUCAGGAAUCUCAUCUGCAAGAAGAUGAAUCCAAUGUGGUUCUUCCUCUUUCUGGUGUCAGCUCCCAGAGGUGCCCUGUCGCAGGUGCAGCUGCAGGAGUCGGGACCCAGCCUGGUGAAGCCCUCACAGACCCUCUCCCUCACCUGCACUGUCUCUGGAUUCUCAUUAACCAGCUAUGGUGUAGCCUGGGUCCGACAGCCUCCAGGAAAGGGGCUGGAGUGGGUUGGUAACAUGUGGAAUGAUGGAGACACAUAUUAUAACCCAACUCUUAAGUCCCAGCUCAGCAUCACCAGGGACACCUCCAAGAGCCAAGUCUACUUAUCGCUGAGCAGCCAGAGAACUGAGGACACAGCCGUGUAUUACUGUGCAAGAGACACAGGGAGGGGAAGUCAGUGUGAGCCCAGACACAAACCUCCCUGCACGGGGGCCCGUUACCACCAGGGGGCGCACAGGACCCACCAAGUACAGGGCUGAGGCCUGUGGCAGGUG